CUGAGCUUUCACAUUUUAUGAGUUAAAGAUAAUAACUUCAGACUGUAUUUAUAUUUGGCACUCAGCAGUCUGGUCCUUCAAACAACAAAGUGUAGCCUUUGUGCUCCUGAUCAUCACAUAGCUUUCUCCCUCCUUCAUCCUCUUCUGUGGAUUAUGUUCCUUGUUAUUUCUAUUUUCAUGUCCAUCCCGUCACUCUCUUUUGAAGCCUACAGCAAAGCAAUUAACAUUGAGUUAGAAGUCCAGACAAAUUACUGUAAAGAAGCUGGCAUUUGGAUAUUAAAAGCGCCUUUUAACACACAAUCCUCACAACACUGUGACUGCAUUUUUUUCUUUAUCUACUAUAGCUACAUUAGAAGAGCUAGGAAAUCAGGUUUUCCUACAGGCAUUUUGAUUAGGCUGCAUUAGGGAGUAUGUAUGUGGACGGGUUUGAGGAAUAGUUUUGCGCACACACACACACACACACACACACACACACACACACACACACACACACACACACACACACACACACACAAUCCUUUUUGGUUAUGUGUUACUGGAAAGGCUGCUUUCCCCCUUGGAGGCGACAUGAAAUGAAGCGGUUUAAAUAAGGAUUAGACCACGAAAAAAAAAAAUGCAACGGACCAAAAAACAAAAAGGCAGAGAAAUAUAUACCAGGCAGUUAUUUAAAAAAUUAACAAAAAAAAAAAUCUGCAUUUUAUCAUUUGCAUUACCAUAGAAUGACAUUAGCCCAGUUCUGUUUUAAUUGACUAUGACAUCAUCAAGUUCAUCGAGUCAGAUGCAGAGACUUUAGUUUAGUCUGAAACUGUCGGUCAGGACACGUCAAGCGUGAUUUUAUUCACAGGGUUUUCAUUCACGGCCGCUGUAAUAAAUAACAUUUUACAAGGUAUAGAGAGAGUGUCCUGUGUGUACCCUUUAAAGAAUGACUGUUGUAAUUACAGUUUUUGCCCGUUGCUUGAACACAUUUGGCAAAACGUCGCUCAUUGUGCCAAAACUCUAAACACAAGUAAACACGACACAACACUGGGAAAUAUACCAUACACAUCUGUGCCAAAAUGAAACUCCACUCCCAAAACCUAAACUCUGCUAUCAAAACCUAACAUUCCUCUGUCAAAAUGUAACUCUGUUGACAAAAUGACACAUACUUGCAUCAUAUGCAAACACUUACAGAUCAGGGGGAACACACUAGUCUUCUUUACAUAAAACACUGCAGUCCUUGAUUUCCAUUGUGUAUUCAGAAGGCACAUUUACAGGAGACACAUUUCCAAACAACCAAAAACGCAAAUAGACCUACUCAAUAGUGUACAUCGCAGUACCAUGAAUUCAGAUAAAGCAAAAAAAAAAAAAACCACAACACAAUAAUACUGCAAUAGAAAAAACACUAUACUGUAAACACAAAAAACCAUGACAAGUGUGCAUAAGUGGGCUCAUGGAUCCCGCCGUCUGUUGGGGUCUGGCCACAGGACCUCAUCAACAUCGCAAGCAGUGUCCUCUCCCGCUGGGCACCGGGGAAAAUAUCCUCUUGCAUGUCGAAACCAUCCAUGGAUUGCUGUCACCUGAAUGUCGCCGCAGGCCUGUUCCAUUGCCUGCAGAAGAGGCAUGCGGGCAUGUGGUUGGCGGUCAUAUACACGUCAUCUCCAAGCCUAAAAAAAUCCUCAAUAGGGUUUAAAAAUGGUGAGUAAGGGGGCAAGUAUACCACUUCAAAUUGAUUGUGGUUGGAGAACCAGGCCUGGACCAGAGCAGCCCGAUGGAAACUGACAUUAUCCCAUAUCACCACAAACCUGGGCUGAUCUGCUCUGUUCUGUACAACUAUAUCAUGGAGAGCAUCUAGAAAUGUGAGUAUGUGUUGGCUAUUGUAUGGACCUAGUAUUGCAUGAUGGUGCAGAAGCCCUCGAAGGCAUAUGGCGGCACAUAAUGUGAUGUUUCCCCC
ensembl:lncRNA